GACAGAGGGUGCAAACGUUGCUCGGAAUCACUGGGCGUAAAGGGCGUGUAGGCGGGAAGUAAAGUCAGAUGUGAAAUCCCUGGGCUCAACCCAGGAACUGCAUUUGAAACUCACUUUCUUGAGUACCGGAGAGGAAGGUGGAAUACCUGGUGUAGAGGUGAAAAUUCGUAGAUAUCAGGUGGAACACCAGUGGCGAAGGCGGCCUUCUGGACGGUAACUGACGCUGGAGACGCGAAAGCGUGGGGAGCAAACAGG
rnacentral:rRNA from 1 species